rnacentral:misc_RNA from 1 species
GCAGGACCAGGAAAGUUUGAGAAGUUCUUUAUUGCAGUGGUCCUACGCUAGUUAUGCUGAGGUUUUCAUUUCCUGGAUGCACUUCUGUGCCGUACGUGUGUUUGCUGAGAGUAUCCUGAGAUAUGGUUUACCACCAUCCUUCUUGGCAUCUGUUUUGGCACCAUCUGUUAAAAGUGAGAAGAAAGUAAGAUCAAUCCUUGAAGGUUUGUGCGACAGUGCCAACAGUACAUAUUGGAAAACUGAAGAUGAAGUGGGAGGAGGGAUGGUUGGUCUUGGAGGAGAUUCUGAUGCAUACCCAUAUGUCUCCUUCACAAUCAAUCUUGCUUAAUUCACCAAAGUUAUGAAGGUUUGCUUCUAUAGAGCAAUAAUAGUGGAGUUGACCAGACCCUACAUUUAAUUAUUCACUGUCAUAUUCCUAUUCCUGGUUGUUUAUGAAUAAUUGCUUCUCAAGUUGUUCAUGUGAGGGUUUUGUGAAAUAUAUGAAGCUUACAUAUUUAUUGGAGGAUUUGUCAAUAAUCUCAUAUUCCGAGAAUUACUCUGCGAGGACUUGGGCAUUUUUGGAAAUUAAGGUACGACAUUCGGUACUGAACAAAAUUACGAUGUACAACCUAUAGAACAGAUAUUGUUCAAGUAAUGUCGUUGCUUUGAUGUUUGAUUUUAUUGCACUGUGAUUCAUACUGAAGUAAGGCUAUGUUGUUUUUCAUGGUGAUUCUGCCAUGGCGGCG